rnacentral:rRNA from 1 species
CCCGAAAGGUCGAAGGCGGAGAUUCAACUGUCUAAUCGUAUGUGUCGGCGUCGUCGGGGCGCGCACUUCGGUGCGCUCAACUGAGACGAUGGCGCGCGCGUUUCUUCCGAGGCGCGUCGCGUUUCGCUCGGCCUCGACGCACGAGACCUGACCGCGAAGGCAUGCACUUCUCCGUCUGUAGGACGUCGCGACCCGUUGGGCGUCGGUCUAAGGCCCGUCGUGGCGACUGUUCUCGCGCUUUGCGGCGCGAGUGACAGACCGACGGUGUUACUUUCCCGGCCGUGCGCCCGACGGUAUUAUCGAACGGACGGCGUUGGGUCGCGCCUAAUUCAUUUAGAGCGCGUUCGAUCGUCCGCAAGUGCGUGCGCGUUAGUCGACUUCGUAUCGCCGGCGGUCGGACCUGGUGCCGGCCCCGGACGCGCAUCACUGUUGGCGUUGUGCGAAUCUCGAACAGGCCCGAGUCGCGCGCUUUCGCGGCGCGCGACACGCCGUGUCGGCGACGCUAUAGCUUUGGGUACUUUCAGGACCCGUCUUGAAACACGGACCAAGGAGUCUAGCAUGUGCGCGAGUCACUGAGAUUCACAUUAAACUCAAAGGCGUAAUGAAAGUGAAGGCACGUCGCGUUUUUAGCGCGACGGUAGCCGAGGGAAGAUCGGUCGCGUUGUGUCUCGAUCAAAAGAUACACGCGCGGCCGCGCACUCCCGGGGCGUCUCGUUCUCAUUGCGAGUUGAGGCGCACCUAGAGCGUACACGCUGGGACCCGAAAGAUGGUGAACUAUGCCUGGUCAGGACGAAGUCAGGGGAAACCCUGAUGGAGGUCCGUAGCGAUUCUGACGUGCAAAUCGAUCGUCGGAACUGGGUAUAGGGGCGAAAGACUAAUCGAACCAUCUAGUAGCUGGUUCCCUCCGAAGUUUCCCUCAGGAUAGCUGGCGCUCGCGUUCGCGCGGCGCGCGUCACGCGCGCGUCGUUCGCGUUCACGAGUCUCAUCUGGUAAAGCGAAUGAUUAGAGGCCUUGGGGCCGAAACGACCUCAACCUAUUCUCAAACUUUAAAUGGGUGAGAUCUCCGGCUUGCUCGAAUUUGAUGAAGCCGCGAGAUAAUUAUGGAUCGAGAGUGCCAAGUGGGCCACUUUUGGUAAGCAGAACUGGCGCUGUGGGAUGAACCAAACGCAGAGUUAAAGCGCCUAAAUAGACGCUUAUGGGAUACCAUGAAAGGCGUUGGUUGCUUAAGACAGCAGGACGGUGGCCAUGGAAGUCGGAAUCCGCUAAGGAGUGUGUAACAACUCACCUGCCGAAGCAACUAGCCCUGAAAAUGGAUGGCGCUGAAGCGUCUUGCUUAUACUCUGCCGUCAGCGGCAAUUUGUGGCGGUCGCGGCGCGAGUCGCGAUCGUCGUGAAGCCCUGACGAGUAGGAGGGUCGCGGCGGUGAGCGCAGAAGGAUUGGCCGCGAGGCUGUCUGGAGCCGCCGUCGGUGCAGAUCUUGGUGGUAGUAGCAAAUACUCCAGCGAGGCCCUGGAGGACUGACGUGGAGAAGGGUUUCGUGUGAACAGCCGUUGCACACGAGUCAGUCGAUCCUAAGCCCUAGGUGAAAACCGAUGUUGAUGUGGUGUGUUUUUUAUGAAAAUAAUAAUAUAAAAAUGAGAUGUUGAUAUGUGUGGUGGAGAGGAGGAGGAGAGAGACGAUAAAGAAAUAUUAUAUGCAUUAAUAAACGAGAUAUUCGCGCACAAAACGUGCACGCGACUAUUGUGACGAACGCGCAGAGUCGUCGUUUUGUUCGAGUCGUGUUGUGUGCUGCGUGUGUUGUGAUAUUUUUUUAUAAUUGUUUCACAAUCGCGCUCUCCCUCUCUCGUUUUCUCUCUCUCUAUCUAUAAUAUCUAUUUUUUUUUUUGUGCAUAUAUUUUACACCCGUCGGG